UACGACUACAUAUCAGGCAUAUCAAUAAGCGGAGGAAAAGAAACUAACUAGGAUUCCCUUAGUAACGGCGAGUGAAGCGGGAAGAGCUCAAAUUUGAAAUCUUCAAGGUUCUACCUUGACGAAUUGUAGUUUAAAGAAGUGUUUUCUGUUGGAGUUUUGGUAAAAGUUCUUUGGAAUAGGACAUCAUAGAGGGUGAGAAUCCCGUAUUUGACCAUUAUUUCCAACUUUGUGAUACACAUUCAAAGAGUCGGAUUGUUUGGGAAUGCAGUCCAAAAUGGGUGGUAAAUUUCAUCUAAAGCCUAAAUAUUGGCGAGAGACCGAUAGCGAACAAGUACCGUGAGGGAAAGAUGAAAAGAACUUUGAAAAGAGAGUUAAACAGGUACGUGAAAUUGUCAAAAGGGAAGCGUUUGACACCAGUGUUGUUUUCUCGAAAAUCAAUUAAAAAUGCUUGGAUUUUGUGUUGUAUUGACCUUUAUAAGCUUUCUGCACUCUUUUCUUGUCUUUUUUAAUGCACUUUUCGUUUAACAAGUCAACAUCAAUUUCUUUUGCUGUAAAAGAGUCAUUGGAAGGUGGCUUUCCUUUCGGAUGAAAGUGUUUAUAGCCUUGUGCUUCUGCAAUCGGAGAGAUUGAGGUCUGCAGCGUAGAUCCUUCGGGGUUAGAUACAUUAGAUGCUAAGUUAUAGUUUUUCAUAGACAACAUUGUUGACUAUGAUUAAUCAUGUAGCUUACUCGUUUGCGCUAUUUUACCUACGCUUAGGAUGUUGACGCGCGUGUGUGCGUG
rnacentral:rRNA from 1 species